GACGAAGGGGGCUAGCGUUGUUCGGAAUUACUGGGCGUAAAGCGAGUGUAGGUGGUUGUCCAAGUUGGAUGUGAAAGCCUUGAGCUCAACUCAAGAAAUGCAUUCAGGACGUGGGCGCUAGAGGACCGGAGAGGAUAGUGGAAUUCCCAGUGUAGUGGUGAAAUACGUAGAGAUUGGGAAGAACACCAGUGGCGAAGGCGGCUAUCUGGACGGUUUCUGACACUAAGACUCGAAAGCGUGGGGAGCAAACAGG
rnacentral:rRNA from 1 species